rnacentral:rRNA from 1 species
AUACGUAGGUGACAAGCGUUAUCCGGAUUUACUGGGUGUAAAGGGCGUGUAGGCGGUUUAGCAAGUCAGAAGUGAAAUUCCCGGGCUUAACUUGGGCGCUGCUUCUGAAACUGCUUUCCUUGAGUGCUGGAGAGGAUAGUGGAAUUCCUAGUGUAGCGGUAAAAUGCGCAGAUAUUAGGAGGAACACCGGUGGCGAAGGCGGCUAUCUGGACAGUAACUGACGCUGAGGCGCGAAAGCACGGGGAGCAAACAGGAUUAGAUACCCUGGUAGUCCGUGCCGUAAACGAUGAAUACUAGGUGUAGGGGGUAUCGACUCCCUCUGUGCCGCAGUUAACACAUUAAGUAUUCCACCUGGGGAGUACGGCCGCAAGGUUGAAACUCAAAUGAAUUGACGGGG